GUCAACUACCGCACACCAACCCUGAUCGGGUAUGGUGUGGACUUGAAUAAAGUCUGUUGACCAGACGGCUCACCUCGACUUCGCGGGCGUGAGCGGAGCCGAACCGAGCAGCCGUUAAGACUAAGAGUUAAAGUUCGUACCUUGGGAUGCGUGCCAGUUCCAAGCUCUACAACUGGGUAAUUAAACAGGUCAUUCGGAAAAGCCAGUGUUACUCAGAAAGUACCGAGUCUUAACCUCGUCGAGGCAAACUUUAC
ncrna:Microcoleus chthonoplastes PCC 7420 HNH endonuclease-associated RNA and ORF (HEARO) RNA